rnacentral:tRNA from 1 species
UGCCGCGGUUGACGACGAGGUAGCUUUCGCCGUUCGGCGUGGUGGCGUUACCGGCGAACAGGACGACGCCCGGUUCGAUGCUGAGCGUGACGUC